AAUCUAACCCAGGAUUAGAACACUGGGCAGCUGUCAAGACGGUCCUUAAGUACUUAAGAAGAACUAAGGACAUCCUCAAAGUUAACAUCCUCAAAGUUGCUUCAGCCGAUAACGUAGCAGAUCCACUGACAAAGCCAAUGUCUCAAAUCCAGCUUGACCGUCAUAUGGAAAGGAUGGGUAUUAGAUACAUGGGAGGAUGGCUUUGAGUGCAAGUGGGAGAUUGUUGGAAGUAUGCCCACAAAGC
rnacentral:lncRNA from 1 species